GUAAGACCUGAAAGACUCGCUUCCAUCUUCUGAAUGCAACCCA
rnacentral:tRNA from 1 species